rnacentral:rRNA from 1 species
AACGAACGCUGGCGGCAUGCCUAACACAUGCAAGUCGAACGGGAUCCUAGCUUGCUAGGUGAGAGUGGCGGACGGGUGAGUAACACGUGGGAACCUGCCUUUUGGUUCGGGAUAACUCACGGAAACGUGAGCUAAGACCGGAUGGUCGAGAGGAAGGCAUCUUCUUCUUGGGAAAGACGGAGCAAUCUGUCGCUUAUGGA